CUUUCGCCAUGCUACGUGCGAGCGAGAGAGAACGCAAGGGCAACAAAACAGAUGGCGAAUUCGAUUGGAUGCACUAGUGCGCACUGAGUGCGCACUCUUUCAGUAUUUAGUAUUCGGUUGGCUUGCCCUGUACUGGUUCAGAAUUUUAUGUGUAUUUGGUUGAUAGUGCACUAAAAACAUGUGCUAGUGAAAACGUGUUCGACUGAACUGCAUUAUCCCAGUGCAGUGUUAUUUGUACGUUCGGUUGAAAUACAUUGCACUAGUGCAGAAGGCACUGAAUUGCACUGAGAUUUUCGACAGUGCAGUUCAGUGCAAAUUUGAGUAUUCCAAUGAAAAAAUAUGGCAGCUAAAAUAUUAUUAUUAGAUGAACUGUUAAAUAGUUCGAGCAGUUCUAGCGAUGAAGAAAUGAUGGCAGUAUUAAUGCGACAUGAAACACAAAUUCCGAAAGUUCGGAAUAUGAUAAAUAUUAUAAAUGAAUAUUCUGAUAAAGAGGUUUUUCUCUGCUCUCUUGUUGAUUACAAGUCGCAUAUUGCACAUGUGGGCACCACUAAAGAAGUUACUAAAUGCACUAUAUUGGGAUCAGUGCCUGUAAUCGCUCCCAGGUCAGUGCAAAUAACCGCACUCGGGUCAGUAUUAAACUAUGCGCUCCAAACAUGUGCGUCUGGUAACAAAAAGUUACUAGCCACUGAAACGGAGCGAGUGCACAUCAAUCGAAUUCGCCAU